rnacentral:rRNA from 1 species
GACGAACGCUGGCGGCGUGCUUAACACAUGCAAGUCGAACGGGCCCGCUCUCUUUUUUGGGGGUGGGUUGAGUGGCGAACGGGUGAGUAUCACGUGAGUAACCUGCCCCCUGCUCCUGGAUAACUGCUUGAAAGGGCGGCUAAUACGGGGUGUGCCGGCUGGUCCGCAUGGGCCUGGUCGGGAUAGUUUCAUCUUCGGGUGUUUCGGUGGGGGAUGGGCUCGCGGCCUAUCAGCGUGUUGGUGGGGUGAUGGCCCACCAAGGCGGUGACGGGUAGCCGGCCUGAGAGGGUGGGCGGCCACACUGGGACUGAGACACGGCCCAGACUCCUGCGGGAGGCAGCAGUGGGGGGUAUUGCACAAUGGGCGGAAGCCUGAUGCAGCGACGUCGCGUGAGGGAUGGAGGCCUUCGGGUGGUGAACCUCUUUCUCCGGUGGUGAAGGCCCUGUCCGUUGCGGCGGGGUUGACGGUAGCCGGGGAUGAAGCGCCGGCUAACUACGUG